rnacentral:tRNA from 2 species
UGGGUUGUGGCUCAGUGGUAGAGCGCUCACCUAGCAUGUGCGAGGCCCUGGGUUCGAUCCUCAGCACCAUAU